rnacentral:rRNA from 1 species
AGGACGAACGCUGGCGGCGCGCUUAACACAUGCAAGUCGAGCGAGAACCGGUCCUUCGGGACCGGGGACAGCGGCGAACGGGUGAGUAACACGUGGGUAAUCAACCCCUGGCACCGGGAUAGCCCGAGGAAACUCGGAUUAAUACCGGAUGGCCCAACAGCUCUUCGGGGCGGUUGGAAAAGGUAGCUUCGGCCUCCGGCCAAGGACGAGCCCGCGGCGGAUUAGCUUGUUGGUGGGGUAAUGGCCUACCAAGGCGACGAUCCGUAGCUGGUCUGAGAGGACGAUCAGCCACACUGGGACUGAGACACGGCCCAGACUCCUACGGGAGGCAGCAGUGGGGAAUCUUGCACAAUGGGCGAAAGCCUGAUGCAGCGACGCCGCGUGAGGGAAGAAGGCCUGCGGGUUGUAAAGCACUUUUAGUGGGGACAAAAAGUCACGGGCGAAUACUCCGUGAUCUUGAUUUAACUCACAGAAAAAGCACCGGCUAAACGUCUGUGCCAGCAGCCGC